GUAGAAGCCUUUGCAGCCCGCGAAGGGUACGCUUUCACGACUCCAAAUAAUGAAAGCACCGGGUACCUCACGGUCCCGGGAUGCAAGUCGGCGGCUCCGGCCGCCGGCCACACUUUCGAAUUGCGGGAACGCCUCCGAGAUCCGACUCCACCAACCCGGUAGGGAGACCUGCCCGGGGGCCCGCACCCACAGUGCGGGGUACGGUAAAAGAGAGUCGGAUGGGGUUAUCCGCAGCCAAGCUCCCUGCAGCUCUCGUAGUUGCGGGGGGAAGGUUCACAGACUAAGCGGAAGUGGGUGGGUACCGUACCUGGUAUCUGCUUAAGAUAUAGUCGGGCUUGGUAGGGCAACCUACCAGACGUGAAGUCGUGGCCCUAGCUGCUCUAGCUGGAGCAAACCGUAGUGAAGCUAGAUCAGUUAGGCCAUCUUCGACCAAACCGUUCCGUAGGUGAACCUGCGGAAGGAUCAUU
rnacentral:rRNA from 1 species